GGGGUAGAGAUGUGGUUGGGCUUAAUAACUGUUAGGUGAGGGUCUCAAUGACGGCUUUGCAUCCACUGGUGAAUGAUGUGUCUGACUUAACUAAGAAAUAUGCCAAUAACUAUUAGGUGAGGCCACAAGACUUAGAGAUCAAGCCCACUGCAUCUUGCUUAGUAAAGUAAUGGACAAAAUAUUGUCCACUCAUUGGUUUGUACUCAUCAAUAACUAUUAGGUGAGGUGUGUAUAGAUUAAUGGGACUGCAGUAUCCACUUGAAACUGAUCA
rnacentral:lncRNA from 1 species